CAGACAUGCUAUCCUUAAGUGAAUACAUAGCUUAAGGAGGGAACACGCAGUGAACUGAAACAUCUAAGUAGCUGCAGGAAGAGAAAGAAAUAUCGAUUUCCCAAGUAGCGGCGAGCGAACAGGAAAGAGAAGACAUGCUAUCCUUAAGUGAAUACAUAGCUUAAGGAGGGAACACGCAGCGAACUGAAACAUCUAAGUAGCUGCAGGAAGAGAAAGAAAUAUCGAUUUCCCAAGUAGCGGCGAGCGAACAGGAAAGAGCCCAAACCGGCAGAUUUAUCUGCCGGGGUUGUAGGACUGAGACAUGGCACUUCAGAGGAUAGCAGAAGCGUUUGGGAAAGCGCGCCAGAGAGGGUGAGAGCCCCGUAAGCGAAAUCCAAAGGAGGCCUAUCAGUAUCCUGAGUAGGGCGGGACACGUGAAAUCCCGUUUGAAUCCGCGAGGACCAUCUCGCAAGGCUAAAUACUAACCAGUGACCGAUAGUGAACCAGUACCGUGAGGGAAAGGUGAAAAGAACCCCGGGAGGGGAGUGAAAGAGAACCUGAAACCGUGUGCCUACAAGUAGUCAGAGCCCGUUAACGGGUAAUGGCGUGCCUUUUGUAGAAUGAACCGGCGAGUUGCGUUAGUCAGCAAGGUUAAGUCAGAAAAGACGGAGCCGUAGCGAAAGCGAGUCUGAAGAGGGCGA
rnacentral:rRNA from 1 species